rnacentral:lncRNA from 1 species
GCUACUCUGCUCUGAAUUGUUUUUAGAUGAACGUCAAACAUUCUUAAAAUUCACAUUUUACAUGAAAACAAGUAUUCAAUCUUCAGCUUUUACUAUUAAGUUGAAAUGAGGUAGAGGGAUAAUUACUAGUAUGUUGGGCUGAACUUGUGAGUUUCCAGAAGUCUCACUUGAGCUAAAGAUGACUAGUAAACUGAUGCGUCUGUUUCUGAAGUUUCAUACGGCCGAAGUUCAUUUACUGGGCAAUGGUUAAAACUGCUUAUCAUGGAGACAAAGAAGACAACAGCGAUGAAGAUGUUGAUGAGGAUAAUGGAGAUCAUCUCAUGGUUGAUGGGAUGGGAAGGAGUCCUGAUGAGCAGAUGAAGAUGUUGAUGAGGAUAAUGGAGAUCAUCUUAUGGUUGAUGGGAUGGGAAGGAGUCCUGAUGAGCAGGAUCUUGAUCUCGAUGAGUUUGACUAUGCAUUAAAUAAAAUGUCCAUCACACCUAAGAAUUCCUUCAGUUGUCGGCUGGAUGGUCAAUCGCGACAACCCAUGGAAAUGCCCUCAAGAAUUA